GACGAACGCUGGCGGCGUGCCUAAUACAUGCAAGUCGAACGCAGUGGGGACGGGUGAGUAACACGUGGGUAACCUCCCAUCAGAGGGGAUAACACUUGGAAACAGGUGCUAAACCGAUACUGAUGGAUGGACUCGCGGUGCAUUAGCUAGUGGGUGGGGUAACGGCUCACCAAGGCCACGAUGCAUAGCCGACCUGAGAGGAUGAUCGGCCACACUGGGACUGAGACACGGCCCAGACUCCGACGGGAGGCAGCAGUAGGGAAUCGUCGGCAAUGGGCGAAAGUCUGACCGAGCAACGCCGCGUGAGUGAAGAAGGUUUUCGGAUCGUAAAACUCUGUUAUUAGAGAAGCGUUACCUACCCAGAAAGCCACGGCUAACUACGUGCCAGCAGCCGCGGUAAUUC
rnacentral:rRNA from 1 species